rnacentral:rRNA from 1 species
CCUACGGGGGGCAGCAGUGGGGAAUAUUGGACAAUGGGGGGAACCCUGAUCCAGCCAUGCCGCGUGUGUGAAGAAGGCCCUCGGGUUGUAAAGCACUUUCAGUGAGGAAGAACGCCUGGUGGUUAAUACCCAUCAGGAAAGACAUCACUCACAGAAGAAGCACCGGCUAACUCCGUGCCAGCAGCCGCGGUAAUACGGAGGGUGCGAGCGUUAAUCGGAAUUACUGGGCGUAAAGCGCGCGUAGGUGGCUUGAUAAGCCGGUUGUGAAAGCCCCGGGCUCAACCUGGGAACGGCAUCCGGAACUGUCGAGCUAGAGUGCAGGAGAGGAAGGUAGAAUUCCCGGUGUAGCGGUGAAAUGCGUAGAGAUCGGGAGGAAUACCAGUGGCGAAGGCGGCCUUCUGGACUGACACUGACACUGAGGUGCGAAAGCGUGGGUAGCAAACAGGAUUAGAUACCCUUGUAGUC